rnacentral:rRNA from 1 species
UACGGAGGGUGCAAGCGUUGUCCGGAAUCAUUGGGCGUAAAGAGUUCGUAGGCGGUAUGUUAAGUUUGGUGUUAAAGCCCGAGGCUUAACCUCGGUUCGGCAUCGGAUACUGGCAUACUAGAAUGCGGUAGAGGUAAAGGGAAUUCCUGGUGUAGCGGUGAAAUGCGUAGAUAUCAGGAGGAACAUCGGUGGCGUAAGCGCUUUACUGGGCCGUUAUUGACGCUGAGGAACGAAAGCCGGGGGAGCAAAU